rnacentral:rRNA from 1 species
GACGAACGCUGGCGGCGUGCUUAACACAUGCAAGUCGAACGGAAAGGCCCUGCUUUUGUGGGGAGCUCGAGUGGCGAACGGGUGAGUAACACGUGAGUAACCUGCCCUUGACUUUGGGAUAACUUCAGGAAACUGGGGCUAAUACCGGAUAGGAGCUCCUGCUGCAUGGUGGGGGUUGGAAAGUUUCGGCGGUUGGGGAUGGGCUCGCGGCUUAUCAGCUUGUUGGUGGGGUAGUGGCUUACCAAGGCUUUGACGGGUAGCCGGCCUGAGAGGGUGACCGGCCACAUUGGGACUGAGAUACGGCCCAGACUCCUACGGGAGGCAGCAGUGGGGAAUAUUGCACAAUGGGCGGAAGCCUGAUGCAGCAACGCCGCGUGCGGGAUGACGGCCUUCGGGUUGUAAACCGCUUUCGCCUGUGACGAAGCGUGAGUGACGGUAAUGGGUAAAGAAGCACCGGCUAACUACGUG